AUUGAACGCUGGCGGCAGGCCUAACACAUGCAAGUCGAGCGGAGCGGCGGACGGGUGAGUAAUGCCUAGGAAUCUGCCUGGUAGUGGGGGAUAACGUCCGGAAACGGGCGCUAAUACCGCAUACUAUCAGAUGAGCCUAGGUCGGAUUAGCUAGUUGGUGGGGGAAAGGCUCACCUAGGCGACGAUCACUAGCUGGUCUGAGAGGAUGACCAGCCACACUGGAACUGAGACACGGUCAGAACUCCUACGGGAGGCAGCAGGGGGGAAUAUUGCAGAAUGGGCGCAAGCCUGAUGCAGCCAUGCGGCGUGUAUGAAGAAGGCCGUCGGGUUGUAAAGUACUUUCAGCGGGGAGGCGUUACCCGAAGAAGAAGCACCGGCUAACUCCGUGCCAGCAGCCGCGGUAAUUC
rnacentral:rRNA from 1 species